rfam:Marinobacterium sp. ST58-10, complete genome.
UUAUGGCGCUCACCUAGAAGUCUAGUGAGUGCCUUAUGACGGAGUAAAUUGAAUGGCCCGUAUAGCUGGCGUCAAUAUUCCUGAC